UACGUAGGGGGCAAGCGUUGUCCGGAAUCAUUGGGCGUAAAGCGCGUGUAGGCGGCUCGGUAAGUCCGCUCUGAAAGCCCGGGGCUCAACCCCGGGAGGCGGGUGGAUACUGCUGAGCUCGAGUCCGGAAGAGGAGUGUGGAAUUCCUGGUGUAGCGGUGAAAUGCGUAGAUAUCGGGAGGAACACCAGUGGCGAAGGCGCGUUUCUGGGCUGCAACUGACGCUGAUGCGCGAAAGCUAGGGGAGCAAACAGG
rnacentral:rRNA from 1 species